rnacentral:rRNA from 1 species
GAAAGUAAGCAAGGGCAGACGGUGGAUGCCUUGGCUCUCGGAGGCGACGAAGGACGUGAUAAGCUGCGAAAAGCCCGGGGGAGGCGCAAAUAGCCCUUGAUCCCGGGAUAUCCGAAUGGGGCAACCCGGCAGGCUGAAGGCCUGCCAUCCCGUAAGGGAGGCGAACGUGGGGAACUGAAACAUCUAAGUACCCAUAGGAGGAGAAAAUAAACAAUGAUUCCGUAAGUAGUGGCGAGCGAACACGGAAGAGCCCAAACCCAUGUCGUCUAGGCGACACGGGGGUUGUAGGACCACGACGUGGCAAGAUAGAGUCAAGUGGAACGCCUUGGAAAAGGCGACCGUAGAGGGUGAUAGUCCCGUACACGACUGACGAUUGAAGCCUAGUGGCAUCCUGAGUAGCGCGGGGCACGAGAAAUCUUGCGUGAAACUGCGGGGCCCAUCCCGUAAGGCUAAAUACUCCCGAGAGACCGAUAGCGAACCAGUACCGUGAGGGAAAGGUGAAAAGAACCCCGAGCAGGGGAGUGAAAUAGACCCUGAACCCGUCUGCCUACAAGCGGUCGGAGCGUCGUAAUGACGUGACGGCGUGCCUUUUGCAUAAUGAACCUACGAGUUACCUUCCCCGGCAAGGUUAAGUACCUAAGGUACGGAGCCGAAGCGAAAGCGAGUCUGAAGAGGGCGGCCAGUCGGGGGGGGUAGACGCGAAACCGAGUGAUCUACCCUUGGCCAGGUUGAAGGUUGGGUAACACCAACUGGAGGACCGGAUGGGUAAGCGUUGAAAAGCUUUCCAAUGAGCUGAGGGUAGGGGUGAAAGGCUAAUCAAACUCGGAGAUAGCUCGUACUCCCCGAAAUGCAUUUAGGUGCAGCCUCUUUAUAGUAUAUCGUGAGGUAGAGCGACUGAUUGGAUGCGAGGGCUUCACCGCCUAUCAAGUCCAGAUAAACUCCGAAUGCGCGAUAUAUAUUUAAAGGGAGUGAGGGCGCGGGUGCUAAGGUCCGUGUCCGAGAGGAGAAGAAUCCAGACCACCGGCUAAGGCCCCCAAAUGAUCGUUGAGUUGAACUAACGAGGUCGGAUCGCAGAGACAGCUAGGAUGUUGGCUUGGAAGCAGCCAUUCAUUUAAAGAGUGCGUAACAGCUCACUAGUCGAGCGAUCUGGCGUGGAUAAUAAUCGGGCAUAAACGAUCUGCCGAAGCCGUGGAUGUCGCAAGACAUGGUAGGGGAGCAUUCCAUGCGGCGUCGAAGAUGAGGGAUGACCCUUGUUGGAGCGCAUGGAAAAGCAAAUGUAGGUAUGAGUAACGAUAAGGGGGGCGAGAAACCCCCCCGCCGAAAGACCAAGGUUUCCUGAUCAACGCUAAUCGGAUCAGGGUGAGUCGGGACCUAAGGCAAAGCCGAACGGCGCCGCCGAUGGAAGAAUGGGUUAAUAUUCCCAUACUGCCUCAUGGAGUGACGUGGAGACGGAGAAGUGACAGUCCUGCCGGCUGACGGAAUAGCCGGUUGAAGGGUGUAGGAGUCGAUCAUGGUAGGCAAAUCCGCCGUGAGAUCCGAACCUGAGAGUAUACGGAGCGCUUGCGCGACGUAAUAUGGACGUAACCAUGCUCCCAAGAAAAUCCGCUAAACUUAUCCAUGCGGCACCCGUACCGUAAACGGACACACGUGGUCGGGUUGAGAAUACUGAGGCGCUCGAGUGACUCACGGUUAAGGAACUAGGCAAAUUGACCCUGUAACUUCGGGAUAAAGGGUCCUCGUCGUAAGGCGAGGCGCAGAGAAUAGGUCCAGGCAACUGUUUAACAAAAACACAUGGCUGUGCUAAAUGGAAACAUGACGUAUACAGCCUGACACCUGCCCGGUGCUGGAAGGUUAAGAGGAGAUGUCAUCGCAAGAGAAGCGUUGAAUUGAAGCCCCAGUAAACGGCGGCCGUAACUAUAACGGUCCUAAGGUAGCGAAAUUCCUUGUCG